rnacentral:rRNA from 1 species
UACGAAGGGGGCUAGCGUUGCUCGGAAUCACUGGGCGUAAAGCGCACGUAGGCGGAUUGUUAAAUCAGGGGUGAAAUCCUGGAGCUCAACUCCAGAACUGCCUUUGAUACUGGCGAUCUUGAGUCCGGGAGAGGUGAGUGGAACUGCGAGUGUAGAGGUGAAAUUCGUAGAUAUUCGCAAGAACACCAGUGGCGAAGGCGGCUCACUGGCCCGAUACUGACGCUGAGGCACGAAAGCGUGGGGAGCAAACAGG